rnacentral:rRNA from 1 species
AGUGAACGCUGGCGGUAGGCCUAACACAUGCAAGUCGAACGGCAGCACAGUAAGAGCUUGCUCUUACGGGUGGCGAGUGGCGGACGGGUGAGGAAUACAUCGGAAUCUACUUUUUCGUGGGGGAUAACGUAGGGAAACUUACGCUAAUACCGCAUACGACCUACGGGUGAAAGCAGGGGAUCUUCGGACCUUGCGCGAUUGAAUGAGCCGAUGUCGGAUUAGCUAGUUGGCGGGGUAAAGGCCCACCAAGGCGACGAUCCGUAGCUGGUCUGAGAGGAUGAUCAGCCACACUGGAACUGAGACACGGUCCAGACUCCUACGGGAGGCAGCAGUGGGGAAUAUUGGACAAUGGGCGCAAGCCUGAUCCAGCCAUACCGCGUGGGUGAAGAAGGCAUUCGGGUUGUAAAGCCCUUUUGUUGGGAAGGAAAAGCAGCAGGUUAAUACCCCGCUGUUCUGACGGUACCCAAAGAAUAAGCACCGGCUAACUUCGUG